AAAUGUGCCGUUAAAGGUACCAAAUCGUCGGGUAUAUUCUCGAACGGUAGCAUAUAGUUGUAGGAGAUCUGCAUCAGAGGCAUAUUAGAAAUUGCCUACAGUAUGCUCACCUGAAACUCCAGUCCAUGUUUUUCGCGACAAUAGUCCUUAAUACGUGGAUAACACUUGGCCAUCAGCGUAUUGCGCUCCAUUGUGGUAUCUAAACAUAGUUUAAAUUUCAAGGUCAACAAGCAAAUUCAACAAACUUAUGCAAUCAAUUGGCCAGCAAUUUCAAAAAGCACACACCUGUGAAAGUGGAACUGGUGAAAAUGCGCACAAUUUUCGAACUAACUGGCGGCAGGGACUCCAGCGAGCCCGCGAAAAUCGAGUCAAUCGUGCGAUCAUCCAUUUUUUGGAGUCACCAGGCGCUUGAGAGCCUGCAACUAGGCAAAUUGAAGACGCGUUUUACUUUUAACUUGUUUUGCGACCACUUUUGCUGAAACUCAAUACGCGACUGCGAUGAAAAUUUGUGCAUGAAAACAUUAAAUCCCCAUUGACAGCCCAAUAAAUUGGCCGAAAAUAUCACAAAUGCGACUUUUGUUGUUUGAUCGAUAACGCUUUCUGAUUGUAGCAGUCAAUCACUGAGGCGCAAGAGCGCAGGCGAGCAGUGGCGGACCAUAUAGCUGGGUCAAUAUGGCAGCGGGAGAAAGUGUUUGCGGGGUGUAGUUGAGCGUAUGGCAGCACCUGACAGGACGAGAUUUUGUAGGGAAAAUCUGCACAUACAUACAUACAUAAUUGAGUUCAAAUGGCAGUCGCGUUUCCUUUAAACGAUUUGUGUCGCUUAUGAGACCCAUAUUUACAUAUCAGCAUAAUAUUGCCAUUAAAGCGAUGGCAUGCAACAUCACUUAUGGUUGCCGUUAAUUAUAUAAAUUAUGCUAUUACAUUUGUGUGAACUAAAUAUUAUAUGUAUAUAUGUAAAUAUAUUUAUGUAUGUUUGUAAGACUAUGUAAUGGCUUAACAUGUAUUUAACGGCAUUGCGCUGCACAUUAAAUUAAUGGUAGUGUUCCAAAUAAUUUAUGAACUCCGUUGGUUCUUUUAAUACUUGCUCAUAUGGGCAU